rnacentral:rRNA from 1 species
UACGUAGGGGGGCAAGCGUUAUCCGGAAUCAUUGGGCGUAAAGCGCACGUAGGCGGCUUUGUAAGUUAGAGGUGAAAGCCCAGGGCUUAACCCUGGAAUUGCCUUUAAGACUGCAUCGCUAGAAUCGUGGAGAGGUGAGUGGAAUUCCGAGUGUAGAGGUGAAAUUCGUAGAUAUUCGGAAGAACACCAGUGGCGAAGGCGACUCACUGGACACGUAUUGACGCUGAGGUGCGAAAGCGUGGGGAGCAAACAGGG